rnacentral:rRNA from 1 species
UACGUAGGGGGCAAGCGUUGUCCGGAUUUAUUGGGCGUAAAGAGCGUGUAGGCGGCUAUGCAGGUCCGCUGUGGAAACUCGAGGCUCAACCUCGAGACGUCGGUGGAAACCGCAUGGCUAGAGUCCGGAAGAGGAGAGUGGAAUUCCCGGUGUAGCGGUGAAAUGCGCAGAUAUCGGGAAGAACACCCGUGGCGAAGGCGGCUCUCUGGGACGGUACUGACGCUGAGGAGCGAAAGCGUGGGGAGCGAACAGG